rnacentral:rRNA from 1 species
GAUGAACGCUGGCGGCGUGCCUAAUACAUGCAAGUCGAGCGAACGGACGAGAAGCUUGCUUCUCUGAUGUUAGAGGCGGACGGGUGAGUAACACGUGGAUAACCUACCUAUAAGACUGGGAUAACAUCGGAAAACCGGAGCUAAUACCGGAUAAUAUUUUGAACCGCAUGGUUCAAAAGUGAAAGACGGUCUUGCUGUCACUUAUAGAUGGAUCCGCGCUGCAUUAGCUAGUUGGUAAGGUAACGGCUUACCAAGGCAACGAUGCAUAGCCGACCCGAGAGGGUGGAUGAGCAGCUUGUCACUGAGACAGGUUAGAGACACCUACGGGAGGAAGCAGUAGGGAAUCUUACGCGAUGGGCGAAAGCCUGACGGAGCAAAGCCGGGUGAGUGAUGAAGGUCUUCUGAUCGUAAAACUAUGUUAGUAGGAAAGAACAAAUGUUUAAGUAACUGUGCACAUCUUGACGGUACCUAAACAGAAAGCCACGGCUAACUACGUG